GACGAACGCUGGCGGCGUGCUUAACACAUGCCAGUCGUGCGGUAAGGCCCUUUCGGGGGUCCACGAGCGGCGAACGGGUGAGUAACACGUGAGCAACCUGCCCUUCACUUUGGGAUAACUGCAGGAAACGGUGGCUAAUACUGGAACUGACUUCUUUACGCAUGCGGGGUGGUGGAAAGCCUUCGGGUGGUAGGGGCUGGGUUCGCGGUCGAUCAGCUUGUUGGUGGGGUGAUGGCCUACUAAGGCUUCGACUGGUAGCCGACCUGAGAGGGUGGCCAGCCCCCAGGGGACUGAGACAGGGCCCAGACUGCAACGGGAGGCAGCGGGGGGGAGUAUUAGACAAUGGGCGAAAGCCUGUUCCAGCAGCGCCGGGUGAGUAAUGACGGCCUACGGGUUGUAAACCACUUUCGCCGGCGACGAAGCGGGAGUGACGGUAGCAAGUAAGGAAGCACCGGCCAACUACGUG
rnacentral:rRNA from 1 species